UCUAGGCCCGCCCCCUUACUUCCCUAUAUAAACCUCUAGCCGUCCAAACAAUGUCAGACAUUGCUGGACGGCAGAGGUACUAGUGACAUGUCUGGUGGCUACACUGAGCGCUUGUCUCUUGUAAGUACUCCCUUACUCUGGAUCCUUUUAUUUAUCACUUUUUGCAUUGGUUCCCUCCUUCCUUAUCUAAUGCCUGUUUCUAUUGCCAUCCAUUGUAUUCACAGAUUGGAGCUCUGCUAGCUCUCUACUGACACCUCUGGCCAAAUUUAAUAUGACACUUUUCUGCUAACCUCAGGUUUUUACAUUAUCAUAUGUUACUUUGUGACUAUAUGGGCCUGAGGUCUUGCUAUAUGUGAUUCUGCACCGCCGGCUUCCUUCCUCUUAAUUUCAUCCAGAGGAGUAUUUCUGCGUCCUGAUAGUGGUGUCCUUUCUCUGGGGUGUGCAGGGUUGAUUAAACGCUGUGAUUGAAAAGUGGUUCUUAUACUCGUUGACUACAUAUACUUCGGCCCCUGAUGAAGGGUAAUCCGAAACGCGUAGGGCCGUGUAUGUCUUCAUGGACCUUGCUUUUCAAUGACACCUAACCAUGUAUUGUUUUUAAAUAAUUCUAUGUGAUAUAUGUGUACAAUUUCCAUUUUUGAAUAUUAAAUUAUCUAUUUUUUGGAUUA